rnacentral:snRNA from 1 species
GGGUUGAGGGCCACCUGGAUGUGACAUCUGUCCUCUCAUUGAUUCAGCUGAUAUGGCUGGCUUGGCAAUUGUCCCCAUCUUUCCUCACUGCUCCAUGUGUGUCCUUCUGAAGCUUCAUGAUAGGUUAAAGAGGAUGACUAUCCCCAAUAGAAGAGGAUCAUUCUUCCAUCAAGGAUGUAAGAGUAGCUGUGCUCCCCUGUUGUAACCUGCAAAUAAACUAUCAAAGCCAGCUUGGGGAAACCACUAUUUUCAAACAUGGUGUUGUUCAGUGGUCAUGUUAAAAUUCCUGUGUGGUCAAGGAGGCAAUUGUUCCUUUCACG